UUUUAACUAAAGAAGGGAACAAAGAAAAUUCUGGGACCAGGGAACACAAAGGCAAAGAGGUUUAUUUUUGCCAAAGCCCUGUGGCAGGAGAGGUUGAAAGUUCCAUUUGCCUGAAGGGGAGAAAAAGGGGAAGUAGGUUGUGAGAUGAGGUGGAAAUGGAAGAUUAGAUCUUUGGAGCCUCCUGAGUAGCUUUGCUGGUGCAGCUCUCUUAGGGAUGUGAGAUGUAUGGCCAGUUUGUAGGUUCAGAACAGCAGGUUCAAGAGCUCAGAUCCCCAUGCUGCUCUCCCUUGCUUACUCCUUCUUGCUUUCUGCUGCUUUGCAGGCAGAAACCCUUGGGGAAACACAGCUCUGCCCCAUCAAAGAACCAUCCUGAAGUGCUCUUCACAAAAGGACGUCAUGAACUGGGAACUUCCACAGUAAUCCGCCAGGAAGAGGAGGUACAGAAGAAAAAACCCUGGAAAUCUUCCCCAAGGGAAGACUGCUUCUGCCUGGAAACAGCUGUGCCAUGAAUCUCAAUCACCAGCGUUUGGUAGAGAAGCUACUCUUCAUGCAUUGGGAAUGUGGAGAUCAGCUCAAAGGGACUUAAGAGGUACCUCAGUUCCAG
rnacentral:lncRNA from 1 species